GUGUGAAACUCUUCCUGAGAAAGACAUGUGCACUACUGGCUUCAAGAAGAUCACUUCAGCCAAGGAGCGGUGGACACAGUGCAGUCCUUACUGAUGCCCCUGUUAAUUUCCUUGGGAUAUUGGAGACAUCUACGUGGCUAGAACUUCUGAGUUCUAGUCUGUGACUUGUACACAAAAGUAAAUGAAAAGAAAUCACUGAUUCAACAAGGAGAAGAUCAGGAAUAGGCUAGAUCAAAUGACCUUACUAAAAUGGCAUUUUAAAAAAAGAUGACUCUUUAAGCCCACAAAUUCAAAGAGAAUGAGAGAGAAACAACAUUCAUUGGUUGAGAAGUGUCCACUGAGUGCAGGAGGAAAGAAGCAGAUGGGAGAGGAGCAGAAACGCUAACUACACUGUAGGGCAUGGCCGAAAGGGCUUCAAGAGCUGCUCAGACUCAGAACAAAGAGCUUCUUUGCGAUUUGUCUGCAUCCCUCUGUGGCCACUGCUCCUGUCCAGAGCCCCGUCUUCCAAGGAUCUUCCUUGAAAGAAGUUCCAAUAACAUGAUCUCUCCCCUUGCUCCUUCUACCCUUGAGAUGGUGACGGCUUCCUACUGCUGCUGGUCUUUGAGGGCUUCACCCUGCCUUGCUGGGGUCCUUAAUCCUGCCCACUUCAUUAAACUCUCUCCAGGCAAA